rnacentral:rRNA from 1 species
GACGAACGCUGGCGGCGUGCUUAACACAUGCAAGUCGAACGGAAAGGCCCUGCUUUUGUGGGGUGCUCGAGUGGCGAACGGGUGAGUAACACGUGAGUAACCUGCCCUUGACUUUGGGAUAACUUCAGGAAACUGGGGCUAAUACCGGAUAGGAGCUCCUGCUGCAUGGUGGGGGUUGGAAAGUUUCGGCGGUUGGGGAUGGACUCGCGGCUUAUCAGCUUGUUGGUGGGGUAGUGGCUUACCAAGGCUUUGACGGGUAGCCGGCCUGAGAGGGUGACCGGCCACAUUGGGACUGAGAUACGGCCCAGACUCCUACGGGAGGCAGCGGUGGGGAAUAUUGCACAAUGGGCGGAAGCCUGAUGCAGCAACGCCGCGUGCGGGAUGACGGCCUUCGGGUUGUAAACCGCUUUCGCCUGUGACGAAGCGUGAGUGACGGUAAUGGGUAAAGAAGCACCGGCUAACUACGUGCCAGCAGCCGCGGUGAUACGUAGGGUGCGAGCGUUGUCCGGAUUUAUUGGGCGUAAAGGGCUCGUAGGUGGUUGAUCGCGUCGGAAGUGUAAUCUUGGGGCUUAACCCUGAGCGUGCUUUCGAUACGGGUUGACUUGAGGAAGGUAGGGGAGAAUGGAAUUCCUGGUGGAGCGGUGGAAUGCGCAGAUAUCAGGAGGAACACCAGUGGCGAAGGCGGUUCUCUGGGCCUUUCCUGACGCUGAGGAGCGAAAGCGUGGGGAGCGAACAGGCUUAGAUACCCUGGUAGUCCACGCUGUAAACGGUGGGUACUAGGUGUGGGGUCCAUUCCACGGGUUCCGUGCCGUAGCUAACGCUUUAAGUACCCCGCCUGGGGAGUACGGCCGCAAGGCUAAAACUCAAAGGAAUUAACGGGGCCCCGCACAAGCGGCGGAGCAUGCGGAUUAAUUCGAUGCAACGCGUAGAACCUUACCUGGGUUUGACAUGGAUCGGGAGCGCUCAGAGAUGGGUGUGCCUCUUUUGGGGUCGGUUCACAGGUGGUGCAUGGCUGUCGUCAGCUCGUGUCGUGAGAUGCUGGGUUAAGUCCCGCAACGAGCGCAACCCUUGUUCACUGUUGCCAGCACGUUAUGGUGGGGACUCAGUGGAGACCGCCGGGGUCAACUCGGAGGAAGGUGGGGAUGACGUCAAGUCAUCAUGCCCCUUAUGUCCAGGGCUUCACGCAUGCUACAAUGGCUGGUACAGAGAGUGGCGAGCCUGUGAGGGUGAGCGAAUCUCGGAAAGCCGGUCUCAGUUCGGAUUGGGGUCUGCAACUCGACCUCAUGAAGUCGGAGUCGCUAGUAAUCGCAGAUCAGCAACGCUGCGGUGAAUACGUUCCCGGG